GAUGCACUCUACUCUAAGUCGCUCUGGAUAAGAGCGUCUGCUAAAUGACUAAAA
rfam:Salmo salar isolate Sally breed double haploid chromosome ssa22, whole genome shotgun sequence.